UCCGUAGGGCGCAAGCGUUGUCCGGAAUUAUUGGGCGUAAAGAGCUCGUAGGCGGCUUGUCACGUCGAUUGUGAAAGCCCGAGGCUUAACCUCGGGUCUGCAGUCGAUACGGGCUAGCUAGAGUGUGGUAGGGGAGAUCGGAAUUCCUGGUGUAGCGGUGAAAUGCGCAGAUAUCAGGAGGAACACCGGUGGCGAAGGCGGAUCUCUGGGCCGUGACUGACGCUGAGGAGCGAAAGCGUGGGGAGCGAACAGG
rnacentral:rRNA from 1 species